CGAGAGAGAGACAGAGAGAUGGUGAUGGAAGGAGAGCGAGGGGGAGGGGUCUCGGCACUGUUGCUGCAGAUGGGAGGGUCGGUAUGGUCAGAGAAGACCAUACGGGUCGUCGGGAUUUCAGGGAGACGGGGUAGGGGUCAUCAACAAACCCUACUGAGGGUGGGGUGUGCCGGAUCUUGCGCUGCAUGCCUCAAAUCCAAAGAUAAGUUCCGUUUUUAAAUUGUUUUCUUGAAUGGUGCCUUAGAUUUUCUAAUUGUUUAGUAUGUUACGUCCAGUUUUGGGGGAUUUGUGAUUUUAAGGCAAGCACUGCUGCUAUGUAUUGUUAAGUUGCUAAUUUAUAGAUUAACCUGCUGUGAUUCUGUGCUUGAAGUCAGGCAUAUGUUUAGACUUCCAAAUUGAUGCCUUAGUAGCUUCAGUGCUUGCCUUAAAAUUACUAUAGGCAUAACUGUUACAGUUCAAAUGUAUGAAGGUUUUUUCCAAGGUAUUUGUGAUAGACCGCUGCACUUUAAAUCUUCUCCCAGGUCCCCAAUUACAACAAAAAUCACAAUUGCAUACAUAUUAAGAACACAAUGAAACUGAAAAAAUUAUAUGGUUCUAAAGUGGUGUAAACCGUUAAUGGAGAAAAUACGGGUGCAUGUAUUGGUGCAUCAGAUGUACGGAUUAGGAUUAGGAUUAGGACCGGUUCUCUGUGUUUAAAGUCUGGAAAAAUACUGUGAAAAAGAUGCAACUUUUUUAUGGGAUUGACAAUUUUCGGCUUAGUUUUGGCUAAGAAAUAAUUAGAGUGUUACUUAAUAAGUUGAGUUAACAAAUUUGCAGGAUGCAACUGAACGCAUGGGAGAAGUUUUGAAACAAGUUAAGAAGAUCCAGCUGAAAAGAGCAUACAAGAUAGGGAAUUGGGUUUAGGUGCCCUUGAAGAUGCCCACCCUGAUUUUUUUUACACCAAGUGGUGAUGGCAACCCAUGCAUUCCAACUUGCCCAGGCUGAACCAGACACUGAUGAAGUCUUUGCACAAGUCACUUUACUUCCCGAAUCAAAUGAAGAUGAGAAUGCAGUGGAGAGGGAAAUAACAUAGGGCGCGCGUCCUUAAACAGGAAAAGACUUUGGUUAGGCAUAGCCAAAUUAAGGAAGAGAAUAGUUUUCAGAAUGGCUAUGUCACAAUCUGCUAUUCUUCCUGUCAAAAUGGGGAAAGCAUGGCUGUCACUCUUCCAACAGGAUUUCUCUGGUUAGAACUUCAGUCUACAAGCUUUGUGGCUGAUCAGAAGCUACCAUAUUUGGAUUUUGCUGGAAGAAGGUUUCGAAUCAGACGAUUGGAAGACAAAAAGGUUAUAAUUGUUAUGACUGAAUUGAGCACGGUAUGUUUAAUUAUGCAGAUGACCAUCUGUUUUACUUUGAUUAAUUUCAUUGGUCAGUGCAUAUCAUAGAUAAUGUAUUUAAUAAAUGAUGUAGAAACAGUGUCCGGCUUCAAUACUACAAGUGUAUUAUCCGCUAGAUUCGACUUUCACAAUUAUUAAAUCUUUUAGUGUAAAUCUGAACCGUUUAUUUCCCAUAUCAUUCAAUAUUAUUGAAGUAUUUUCUGUAGAAACCUGCUGGAAAAAAAUUGAUGUAGAAACCUGUGAAAAGCUUAAUGCAGGCAUCUCAACUCAAUUACUACAAACCCUAUUCAACGUGAAAGGUGUUACACACAAUGGAAUUGCAGGAAAUGCAGAUCCCCAAUUCGAAAUUGGAGAUGUCACUAUCCCUCAAUUUUGGGCUCAUACAGGCCUUUGGAAUUGGCAGAGCAAUAGAUGCCAAGCCAAAAGUGAGAAUGGGAACGAAGAAUCCAUGCCAAAAUCUCGCAUUUGUUCAGAGUGGUCUUGAUGGAACAUGGAAUCCAUAUCACCAAGUUUACUAAUUCAAGAUGCCAUCAGAUAGGCAAAAUCGUAUUGUCUAUAAAGUGCAAUGAAUGCUACAGGUUACUAAGUUUCGCCAUAUGCCUUCAUUGUGGCAUUGCCCUCUCUGCG